rnacentral:rRNA from 1 species
CAGCCGCCGCGGUAAUACAGAGGGUGCAAGCGUUAAUCGGAAUUACUGGGCGUAAAGCGCGCGUAGGUGGUUCGCCAAGUUGGAUGUGAAAUCCCCGGGCUCAACCUGGGAACUGCGUCCAAAACUGGCGAGCUAGAGUAUGGUAGAGGGUGGUGGAAUUUCCUGUGUAGCGGUGAAAUGCGUAGAUAUAGGAAGGAACAUCAGUGGCGAAGGCGACCACCUGGACUGAUACUGACAUUGAGGUGCGAAAGCGUGGGGAGCAAACAGGAUUAGAUACCCCCGUAGUCCCUGUCUCUUAUAA